CUGCUGACACAGGUCCCAGGACAAAGUCAGGAUGUCUGAAGGACUAUCUGGUAGCAAUUGAUUAACCACAGAAUGCCCCAAUGCCGGAGGUAGUCUAUAAAGUUUAACAAACAAAUGGUUAAAACUACAAAGUAAGAUAACACAGAAAUUCUUGAAAAGCCCCUAAAACUUGAGUCAAUUAGAAUUGUACCCUUACUUGCACCCCUAAAUGAUGUAACCUUGUGGUUUUUGCCUUUAAAAAUGAAGCUUGCAGAGGGGUGGGCACCUCCUCCAGCCUCUGCUAUGUCUGGGGUAUUCGACCAAGGUCCCUGCCGAGGCUUGAAUUGAAAUAAACCUUGUUUUUGCAUUUCGGUGAGUUGCUGUCUCUGGUGGUCUCUUCGGGGGUCUCACACCCAGGGCACAAUAAGCAAUAGCAAGCCUCUGGUCGAGUAAGGUCACCAGACUUGAAUUCUACAGGGUCAUAAAGGCAGGUAAGAAUUUUCCUCAGAUAGUGACCACCAGGCUUCCAGGGUCAAACUGAGGGGUGAUAAUCACAUAGAGGGGCAGUAAUUGUUAAUUAUCAUUUGCAGCCCAAAAGGGAAGUGACUAAUGGGGAAAUGAAUUAACUAAAGCCUAAAUUCGGGUAAUAUCUAAGAAGAGGGAAUCUUACGUGCUCCACUAUAGUCUUCAACGUGAUUGGUAGAAAAUGUUAAGAAUCUGUGGGGCGGUGGUGGCACACGCAUUUAAUCCCAGCACUCGGGAGGCAGA